UACGGAGGGUGCAAGCGUUGUCCGGAUUUAUUGGGUUUAAAGGGUACGUAGGCGGAUCUUUAAGUCCGUGGUGAAAGCCUGCAGCUUAACUGUAGAACUGCCAUGGAUACUGGAGAUCUUGAAUUCAGUUGAGGUAAGCGGAAUUUAUGAUGUAGCGGUGAAAUGCAUAGAUAUCAUAAAGAACACCUAUUGCGAAGGCAGCUUGCUGGACUUGGAUUGACGCUGAGGUACGAAAGCGUGGGGAGCGAACAGG
rnacentral:rRNA from 1 species